rnacentral:rRNA from 1 species
GACGAACGCUGGCGGCGUGCUUAACACAUGCAAGUCGAACGGAAAGGCCCUGCUUUUGUUGGGUGCUCGAGUGGCGAACGGGUGAGUAACACGUGAGUAACCUGCACUUGACAUUGGGAUAACUUCAGGAAACAGGGGCUAAUACAGGAUAGGAGCUCCUGAUGCGUGGGGGGGGUUGGUAAGAUUCGGCGGUGGUGGAUGGACUCGCGGCUUAUCCGCCUGUUGGUGGGGUAGUGGAUUACCAAGCGUUUGACGGGUAGGCGGCCUGAGAGGGUGGCCGGCGUCAUGGCGCCUGCGGGACGGCCCAGUCGGGAAUGGGAGGCAGUGGGCGGAAACAUGGCGGAGCGGGGCGAAGCCUGUGGCGGCAGCGCCGCGAGCGUAAUAACGUCCUUCGGGUGAUAAACAGCUGUGGCCGGUGACGAAGAGUUAGUGACGGUAAUGAGUAAGAAAGCACCGGCUAACUACGUG